rnacentral:rRNA from 1 species
AACGAACGCUGGCGGCAGGCCUAACACAUGCAAGUCGAACGGGGUCUUCGGAUCUAGUGGCGGACGGGUGAGUAACGCGUGGGAACGUGCCCUUUGGUUCGGAAUAGCCCCGGGAAACUGGGAGUAAUACCGGAUAAGCCCUACGGGGGAAAGAUUUAUCGCCAAAGGAUCGGCCCGCGUUGGAGUAGGUAGUUGGUGAGGUAAUGGCUCACCAAGCCGACGAUCCAUAGCUGGGUUGAGAGGAUGAUCAGCCACACUGGGACUGAGACACGGCCCAGACUCCUUCGGGAGGCAGGAGUGGGUAAUCUUAGACAAUGGGGGAAACCCUGAUCUACCCAUGCCGCGUGAUCGAUCAAGGCCUUAGGGUUGUAAAGAUCUUUCAGUGGGGAAGAUAAUGACUGUACCCACAGAAGAAGCCCCGGCUAACUCCGUGCCAGCCGCCGCCGUAA